AUUGAACGCUGGCGGCCGGCCUAACACAUGCAAGUCGAACGAGUGGCGGACGGGUGAGUAAUGUAUGGGAAACUGCCUGAUGGAGGGGGAUAACUACUGGAAACGGUAGCUAAUAACGCAUACCAUCAGAUGUGCCCAGAUGGGAUUAGCUAGGUGGUGGGGUAACGGCUCACCAAGGCGACGAUCCCUAGCUGGUCUGAUCGGAUGACCAGCCACACUGAAACUGAGACACGGUCCAGAGUCCUACGGGAGGCAGCAGUGGGGAAUAUUGCACAAUGGGCGCAAGCCUGAUGCAGCCAUGCCGCGUGUAUGAAGAAGGCCUUCGGGUUGUAAAGUACUUUCAUCGGGGAGGCGUUACCCGCAGAAGAAGCACCGGCUAACUCCGUGCCAGCCGCCGCGGUAAUUC
rnacentral:rRNA from 1 species